ensembl:lincRNA
ACCGCGCGUUGGGAUUCGUAGUGUUGUUGAAGACCGGAGGAGUGUCUGCAGUCAGCGACUCUCCACCAACUUCAACUACUGGAUCAACCAUGGUGGUUGGCAUCAACUACCAGUCCCCCACAGUGGUGCCCGGGGGUGCCGUAGCCAAGGUGCAGUGGGCAGUCUGCAUGCUAAACAAUACCACAGCCAUCACCAAGGCCUGGACCCGCCUCAACCCAAAGUUUGACCUGAUGUAUGCCAAGCAGGCAUUUAUGCACUGGUAUGUGGACGAGGGCAUGGAGGAAGGGGAGCUCUCUGGGCCGGAGAGGACCUGGCUGCCCUGGAGAAGGAUUAUGAAGUAGGCACAGAAUCUUUGGACAGCGAGGAUGAGCGUGAGGAGUUCUAGGGGUCCUGGCACGUGUAAUACCUGGUCUCUCGCACCACAGUUGUGCAUCUCAUUCCACUGUUCCCUGACCCCCUACAAAUACAAUGGAUGUUGCAAGCAAUGUGGAACUCUGUGGAAUUCUGCCCAGGCAGUGGGCCAUCUUUAAGCUUCUCAGCUUCCUUUGAUGUCUUUCUAAGUUAAAGGGCAGGGUGGCCUCUGCCGCUAGGACCUCCAGCCAGGGCAUGUCUAGUAUAGGAUUGGCACUGCUUCCCUCCCGUGUGAGCGGACCACCCUGACAGCUCUUCGCCAGCUCAGCACCCAGGCUGUAGUACUUCACAGGGGUCCCUAUGUGUACCCCCUUGUCUCCAGCCCACUUCUAGGAAGAGUAAGCCUUCUGGAGGUUCUGAUGAAAGCUGCCAAAAGUUUCUCUGCCCCCAGCAUUCUGGGACAGAAACUGCUGGACUUCAGUGCCACAAGGAGUCAAGCACUUCUAACCACUCCUCCCGUCUGAUGACCAAGAGGGGGCAGUAGAGGUUGUCUCCACAGCAACCAUCUUAGACUUGAGGGCUCUGUCUUGAUGCCUUACAAACACAGGGUCCAAGAAAUAAGAUUCCAAAAAACAAAAAACAGUGAUCUCCAGCCUGGGACUAUGAAGAUGCGAAACAACAUUUUUUUUUUCCUUUCUUUUUUUUUUUUUUUUUUUUUUUUUGAGGAUGAGAAACACUAAAAUGUAUUAUAUAUUCUGGGCUGGGUGCAGUGAUUCAGGCCUGUAAUCCCAGCAUUUUGGGAGGCAGAGGUGGGAGGAUGGCUUGAGCCCAGGAGUUUGAACCAGCCUGGGCAAUGUGAGACUCCAUCUGUACAAAAUAUAAAAAAAAAUUAGCCAGUCGUGCUAGUGUGUGCUUAUAGUUCUAGCUACUCAGAAGGCUGAGGUGGGAGGAUCACCGGGGUCCAGGAGGUCGAGGCUGCAGUGAGCUAUGAUUGCACCCCCAACUCCAGCCUCAGCAACAGAGCGAGACGCUGUUUCUUAAAAAAUAAAAUAACAUAUUCUGGGUAGACAAAUGGUUAAAGUAGGUCUAAUUGGAGAGCUUCCCUAACUUUUAACACUUUUUAGGCUACCGGAAAGUAGGGAUACUAGUUCAUUUAACACCCAUAUAGCCACUACCUGGAUUUAACAUCUAGGUCUGUUUCUUUUAUUUUUGCUUUACUGACCCAUUUAAACUCACUACUUUUGCGGGGGGAUGGCGGUGGGGGAAGAUGGAGCCUUGCUCUGUUGCCAAGGGUGGAGUACAGUGGUGCCAUCUCAGCUCACUGCAAUCUCACAGAACCUCCAGGGUUCAGACGAUUCUCUUGUCUCAGCCUCCCGAAUCACUGGGAUUACAGGCAUGCGCCACCACGCCCGGCUAAUUUUUUGUAUUUUCAGUAGAAACGGGGUUUCGCCAUGUUGGCCAGGCUGGUCUUGAACUCCUGACCUCAAAGUGAUCAGCCAACCUCAGCCUCCCAAAGUGCUGGGAUUGCAGGUGUGAGCCACUGUGCCCGGCCCACAAAUGUUUUUUUAUAGUCAAUUUUUCAGUCAUGAU